rnacentral:misc_RNA from 1 species
GAUGAAGAACGUAGCGAAAUGCGAUAAGUAAUGUGAAUUGCAGAAUUCAGUGAAUCAUCGAAUCUUUGAACGCACAUUGCGCCUAUUAGUAUUCUAGUGGGCAUGCCUGUUCGAGCGUCAUUAAGUCCACUUAAGCCCUGCUUAGUGUUGGGAGACUGCUCCAGCGGUGCUACCCUGUAGCUACCCUGCCUCCUCAAAGACAGCGGCGGAGUUGUGGUAUCCUCUGAGCUUAGUAACUUGUUCUAGCAUUCGAGUACACCACUUCCCCUGCCGUAAAACCCUUAAUUUUUAAUGGUUGACCUCGGAUCAGGUAGGAAUACCCGCUGAACUUAAGCAUAUCAAUAAGCGGAGGA